UCGGAGGCAGCAGUGGGGAAUUUUGGACAAUGGGCGCAAGCCUGAUCCAGCCAUUCCGCGUGAGUGAAGAAGGCCUUCGGGUUGUAAAGCUCUUUCGCAAGGAAAGAAAACUUAUCUCCUAAUACGAGGUGAGGUUGACGGUACCUUGAUAAGAAGCACCGGCUAACUACGUGCCAGCAGCCGCGGUAAUACGUAGGGUGCGAGCGUUAAUCGGAAUUACUGGGCGUAAAGCGUGCGCAGGCGGUUUUGUAAGUCAGAUGUGAAAUCCCCGGGCUCAACCUGGGAACUGCGUUUGAAACUACAAGGCUAGAGUGUAGAAGAGGGGGGUAGAAUUCCACGUGUAGCAGUGAAAUGCGUAGAGAUGUGGAGGAAUACCGAUGGCGAAGGCAGCCCCCUGGGCUAACACUGACGCUCAUGCACGAAAGCGUGGGGAGCAAACAGGAUUAGAUACCCCGGU
rnacentral:rRNA from 1 species